UACGAAGGGGGCUAGCGUUGCUCGGAAUUACUGGGCGUAAAGCGCACGUAGGCGGAUUGUUAAGUCGGGGGUGAAAUCCUGGAGCUCAACUCCAGAACUGCCUUCGAUACUGGCGAUCUCGAGUCCGGGAGAGGUGAGUGGAACUGCGAGUGUAGAGGUGAAAUUCGUAGAUAUUCGCAAGAACACCAGUGGCGAAGGCGGCUCACUGGACUGGUAUUGACGCUGAGGUGCGAAAGCGUGGGGAGCAAACAGG
rnacentral:rRNA from 1 species